UCCGGUAUGGUCUAUCGGCUAGGAUCACCCGCUUUCAUUCAUGAAGCAGCUGUGUACAGCACCGGGUAGGGCCGGGUUCGACUCCCGGUACCGGAA